GCGGGUGUAGCUCAAUGGUAGAGCACUGGCCUUCCAAGCCAGCUGUGUGAGUUCGAUUCUCAUCACCCGCUCCA
rnacentral:tRNA from 1 species